ACCUGGGUGGCUCAGUCGGUUGAGCAUCUGACUUCAGCUCAGGUCAUGAUCUCAUGGUGUGUGAGUUCGAGCCCCGCAUCAGGCU
rfam:Felis catus isolate Cinnamon breed Abyssinian chromosome D4, whole genome shotgun sequence.